rnacentral:rRNA from 1 species
AGUGAACGCUGGCGGUAGGCCUAACACAUGCAAGUCGAACGGCAGCACAGUAAGGGCUUGCUCUUACGGGUGGCGAGUGGCGGACGGUUGAGGAAUACAUCGGAAUCUACUUUUUCGUGGGGGAUAACGUAGGGAAACUUACGCUAAUACCGCAUACCACCUACGGGUGAAAGCAGGGGAUCUUCGUACCUUACGCGAUUUAAGAAGACGAUGUCGGAUUUGCUAGUUGGCGGGGUAAAGGCCCACCAAGGCGACGAUCCGUAGCUGGUCUGAGAGGAUGAUCAGCCACACUGGAACUGAGACACGGUCCAGACUCUUACGGGAGGCAGCAGUGGGGAAUAUUGGACAAUGGGCGAAAGCCUGAUCCAGCCAUACCGCGUGGGUGAAGAAGGCCUUCUGGUUGUAAAGCCCUUUUGUUGGGAAAGAAAAGCAGCAGGUUAAUACCACGCUGUUCUGACGGUACCCAAAGAAUAAGCACCGGCUAACUUCGUG